rnacentral:sRNA from 1 species
AGCUGUUCCCCUCUGGAGGUUUAGAUCUCCACACUUCAUGGGCCGCGGUUCUCCGCAGGCCCUUUUUUUGUUCUUCG